rnacentral:misc_RNA from 1 species
AGCGAAUUGUGACUGAACAACCAAAUUGUGGAACACGGUGGUCCAGCGAAUCUUUGAUAACUAUGGGAAGGGGAGAGAAGACUGUAUGUGAUUUUACAGGAGACUAGAAUGGUUUUUACAGAAGACUGUAUAGAAGACUGUAUAUAUUUGCGCCUACUGGUUUUAUUCUUGUGCUGGUUAAGCUCUGAAGUGAAGCCAUUUCCAAACAAAGAUGAAGGACCUAAAUAAUAUUCCACCUACACAAAGAACUAAAUCUCUAAGUGAGGAAAUAAUAGGGAUGCCUUUUCAUGAGAGAUAAUGAACCAUAUCAGUAUGGCUACUUCUAUAUUGUUAUCUUGGAGAAACAUUA